AUGUGGAUGGCUGCAUCGGGCGGCUACGUAGCCGGUAGAUAUGGAGGCGACCGCGGCACUCGAGAAGAGGGAGCGGCUAGUGAUUGGGCCAAGGUCUGGGUCCUCCCGUCGUCGCACACGGUCGCUGAGGAGAGUCGACGGCUAUGGAGGACGUCGAGUGGCGGUGGCAGCCGCUCCCGCUUCUGCUCCGAGUGUAUCAAUGGCGUCGUCAGCCGUCGACCCCUCCAUUUGGGGCUUGCUCGAGGAAUAAGGCCUGCAGGGCCUGGUGCGUGGGUUGUUCGGGCUGGGGCGUUCUCCUCCCGAACUGAGUUGUUCGAUCGAUGCCCCUCUUGUCCCGAACGUUCGGACUGGGAGCACCCCAGACUGAACGGUCGGGAGUUCUCGACGUCCACAAAAUAA
rnacentral:rRNA from 1 species